UACAGAGGGGGGCAAGCGUUGUUCGGAAUUACUGGGCGUAAAGCGCACGUAGGCGGAUAUUUAAGUCAGGGGUGAAAUCCCGGGGCUCAACCCCGGAACUGCCUUUGAUACUGGGUAUCUCGAGUCCGAGAGAGGUGAGUGGAAUUCCGAGUGUAGAGGUGAAAUUCGUAGAUAUUCGGAGGAACACCAGUGGCGAAGGCGGCUCACUGGCUCGGGUACUGACGCUGAGGUGCGAAAGCGUGGGGGAGCAAACAGGG
rnacentral:rRNA from 1 species